CAACAGGGAUUGCCCCAGUAACGGCGAGUGAAGCGGCAACAGCUCAAAUUUGAAAUCUGGCCCCCAGGGCCCGAGUUGUAAUUUGCAGAGGAUGCUUUUGGCGAGGUGCCUUCCGAGUUCCCUGGAACGGGACGCCACAGAGGGUGAGAGCCCCGUCUGGUCGGAUACCGAGCCUCUGUAAAGCUCCUUCGACGAGUCGAGUAGUUUGGGAAUGCUGCUCUAAAUGGGAGGUAUAUGUCUUCUAAAGCUAAAUACCGGCCAGAGACCGAUAGCGCACAAGUAGAGUGAUCGAAAGAUGAAAAGCACUUUGAAAAGAGGGUUAAAUAGUACGUGAAAUUGUUGAAAGGGAAGCGCUUAUGACCAGACUUGGGCCCGGUGAAUCAUCCAGCGUUCUCGCUGGUGCACUUUGCCGGGCUCAGGCCAGCAUCAGUUUGCCCCGGGGGAUAAAGGCUCUGGGAACGUGGCUCCUCCGGGAGUGUUAUAGCCCACUGCACAAUACCCUGGGGCGGACUGAGGUUCGCGCAUCUGCAAGGAUGCUGGCGUAAUGGUCAUCAGCGACCCGUCUUGAAACACGGACCAAGGAGUCGUCUUCGUAUGCGAGUGUUCGGGUGUCAAACCCCUACGCGUAAUGAAAGUGAACGCAGGUGAGAGCUUCGGCGCAUCAUCGACCGAUCCUGAUGUUCUCGGAUGGAUUUGAGUAAGAGCAUACGGGGCCGGACCCGAAAGAAGGUGAACUAUGCCUGUAUAGGGUGAAGCCAGAGGAAACUCUGGUGGAGGCUCGCAGCGGUUCUGACGUGCAAAUCGAUCGUCAAAUAUGGGCAUGGGGGCGAAAGACUAAUCGAACCUUCUAGUAGCUGGUUUCCGCCGAAGUUUCCCUCAGGAUAGCAGUGUUGAACUCAGUUUUAUGAGGUAAAGCGAAUGAUUAGGGACCCGGGGGCGCUUUCUUGCCUUCAUCCAUUCUCAAACUUUAAAUAUGUAAGAAGCCCUUGUUACUUAGUUGAACGUGGGCAUUCGAAUGUAUCAACACUAGUGGGCCAUUUUUGGUAAGCAGAACUGGCGAUGCGGGAUGAACCGAACGCGAGGUUAAGGUGCCAGAGUAGACGCUCAUCAGACACCACAAAAGGUGUUAGUACAUCUUGACAGCAGGACGGUGGCCAUGGAAGUCGGAAUCCGCUAAGGACUGUGUAACAACUCACCUGCCGAAUGUACUAGCCCUGAAAAUGGAUGGCGCUCAAGCGUCUCACCCAUACCUCGCCCUCAGGGUAGAAACGAAGCCCUGAGGAGUAGGCGGACGUGGAGGUCAG
rnacentral:rRNA from 1 species